rnacentral:tRNA from 1 species
GGUGAGGUGUCCGAGUGGCUUAAGGAGCACGCCUGGAAAGUGUGUGAACGCAAGUUCCGAGAGUUCGAAUCUCUCUCUCACCGCCA